AAUAUUCAUUAUUUUUAUAUUUAUUUUAAUUACAUGUAUCUAAUAUAUUGAUAAUUUAUAUGAUAUAUUAUAUGUUAUAAUAUAUUAUACAUUAUAUAUAAUAUGUACAUAUAAUGUAUGUAAUUUUUAUAUACUAUAAUCUAUAUUAUUGACGUAAAAAAUAAGGAUAAGCUGGGCCAUAAAGAGGAAGUGUCACAAAAGAAGAAAAACAAUGGCCAAUAACUAUGUAAAACAUGUUCAGCUGAACUAGAAAUCAUGAUAUGGAGUAAAAAAACAAGGUUUUUUCCAAUUAGAUUUAUAAGAACUAAUAAUAUUGAAAAGAUACAAUGUUUCUGCAAUGUGAUGUCACUUGGCUAUUUCAAACCAUGUUAUAAAACAAUACUUGAUGAUUGCAUAAAGUUCAGAAUACAUUAUUAAGUGGAAAAAAAAAACAAAAUAUAAAACAAAUUUUUUCAAACAGUUUUACUUAGAUAAAAAUCACAAACGUGUCCUGAGAGUGAUUUCUGGGCUGUAGGAUGCUCUGGGCAGGGGUUUUUCUAGUCUCUUCCCAUUCUUCUGUAACAAGCAGAUAAUAGCAAACAGUAUUUCUGUAUUGUUGUUUUUAAAAUGGCUCUUCUCUGUUGGCUCAUCUUAGGAUCUAAGACUUGUUUUUGUUUUCAGUUUUAAGAAGCAGAAAAGCGAGUAGCGAUGUUUCUGUUUGUUGGCUGCUGUCAGGCAGUAUCUUUUGCUGAAAUCAUCUUCAUUGUAUUCAAUAUUUUCAGAAUUACAAAACCUUGAAUUUGAGGACAGAGUUUGUUGCCAUUCUUGGUGAAAUGACCUGUGUUUUUAGGUAGAAACGGAUGAAUCAUACUGUUAUGUAAAUAUAAUAAAUGAUACUGUUUCAUCGUGCACGCGUCUUGCCAAACUACCAUUUACUGGAGAUGCGUGUUUGUGUGUUUGCAACUCUGAAGCCCCGUGCUUGUCUGGUGUUCAUCUGACCUUCCUGCCACUCUGCAAUGUGAUACUUCCAUUGUUUCUCAUGGGCCCUCUAACCCUCUCGCUGCCUGCUGAGGUGAUACCUGUGAGAGUUGCCAAUCCGUGUCCCUUCCCACUCCACCAGCCAGCCCUGUGACUUCUCUAAAUGUGUAUUGUCUCACUUGGGACAAAGUCUGGUGAGGAAUCCUUUUCAAGGAAGAGUCACUCGUGGGCAUGUGACACUGCUGAUACCUAGGCUCGCAGUGUCCCUUAAUUAAAUCCACAUUGGUUUGUUUGUAACUCUGUGCAUGAAGACAUUUUUUGUUUGUUUGUUUUGUUUUGGUUUUGGUUUUUCGAGACAGGGUUUCUCUGUGUAGCCCUGGCUGUCCUGGAACUCACUUUGUAGACCAGGCUGGCCUCGAACUCAGAGAUCCACCUGCCUCUGCCUCCCAAGUGCUGGGAUUAAAGGCGUGCGCCACCACGCCCGGCGCAUGAAGACAUUUUUUUAACUCCUGAAGAAUUACAGAAGAGAACUAAAGAUAAGUUCCAAGGUGAUGUUGCUGGAGGAUUCUGGGGCACAGCUGUCUCAGGCUUAUCACCCAUGGAGCGACCACAGCGACAACUGUAUGAAAAUACCUUUGAGCCUAGCACAUCUAUUUAUUUCACCUAAAGUAACUAGACGUCUGCCUUACCUUGGGUUGGGCUUUAUAAUUUACCAUAAUGGAAUUUGAGAUACUGGAAUUUUGCUUUAACCCAAUUUGGGCAACAAUAAAAUAAAUAUAGCAUUCAUUUCUUUUAGUGCUUUAUAUAUUAAAUCCAUGAUAAUUAAAAUGCAUGAAAACAAAUAUUUUUAUGUUAAAGGCUCAGAUUACUUUUUAUUUUGUUUGUUUUUGAGAUGGGAAUCUCACUAUAGAGCCCUGAUUGGCCUGAAAUUUGCUAUGUAGACCAGGCUGGCCUCCAACUCACAGAGAUCCACCUGUUUCUGCCUCUUGCUCGUGUUU
rnacentral:lncRNA from 1 species